AAAAAUUUAGUUAAAAAAUAACAUUAGUCUGUCAUGCUAAAAUUGUCAAUGGGAUAAUUUUUU
rnacentral:tRNA from 1 species